rnacentral:lncRNA from 1 species
UCAACAAUAUUUCAAACAUUCCAAUAUUUAUAAUCCAUAAAUUUUCCUAUCACCCCUAUCGUUUGCCUUUCGAUUUGACGGCCUAAUCAUGAUACUAUCAAGUUCAAUGACAUCAAUGAAUCAAAAUUAGUCCGUAUUCAUUUUUUUGCUUUUCAAAUUCCGCCCUACUUUAAUUCUUGAUCAAUUAACCAAUUCCAAUACAGAAUCAUCCAAUCAAAACUACGACAAUCAUAGACGUUCAAAUAUACUAUCAAAAAUUAUAUCAUCAAUCAACAUGAAGCAAGCAACUCACAACAUCACCUCACCAAAUUAUGUAAAACAAAGAGAAGGAUCUGAAGAAUCGGACCUUAGAAGAAGCUUUAAAAAUUGAUGUAUUAUUCCAAGAAAAACUUGGUAUAAUCCGUGUCGAGAACCUUAAUUCAGACCUCAAUCACGAACUUGCCAACUCGAUCAAAACUGCAAAACAGCAGAGAAAACCAUAAAAAAAAUCCAAAUCUCAAUUUUUAAACCAAGCUUGAAACGAGUCACACCAGGUUUGCUAUUUUUGGUGAAGUUUGAACUCCCUGGAGCUCCGUUGGAUCUCGGCAGUUAGCGAAAUAAUGUUUUCCCAGUGAGAUUUUGCCAGAAAACUAGAAACGAAAGAGAAUUCAAAGAUUUUGAGGGUGCGGAUGGUCUAAUUCCGGUAAGGGAAUACCAAUUCCGGUGAGAAACUCGCCGGAAAAACCAAACCAGCCGUCCUUGAUUUGAAGGUAAUAUGUUUCCUAUUUUAUCAAAGAAAACUUGUGAGUUAAAAAACAUGGUGGAUGGCUUGUGUCUUUAGCUUUCGCGACAAUCGCUCUUGCCCCAGUCACAUUUAACCUUGCUUCCAACUAUUAGCAUAUGUCAUUGACUUGUUGCAUCAGUGAUCCAAAUUCAUAUUAGGAAGAGUGACUCUGCCACAAACACAGUAUCUCUGCUUUGCCAUGUUUCUCAGUUAAACCCUUUGAACAAUGGUAUUUCUGUGGGUUCCCAGACUUGUCUGUUGACAAAACUCUCUACAUGUCCUUUUUUUUUCAGCUCACAAUCAUGUCUCUUUCUUGCGCUGGCCUUUUUGUCUUGCUUUGUACAAUUGAAGAAGUUGGUAGCCAAUUUUAAAAUCUUUUUUCACUUGUUUCGACAUGGACUAGACUCAAAGACAAGAGCAAAAAUGACCAUGAUUUUUUAUUUGGAUAACUGACUCAAGAAAAAUAAAAUAAAAAUAAAAUAAAGAGAAGAAAGAAAAGACAAUGAAUGUCCCCAUUAAAAAAAAAUAAUGAAAAAUGUAUCUAAAAAUGAGAGUUAACUCUAAUGAUUAUGCCAUGCAUUUUGGAUUAAGCUGCCUGAUCUUUCAUCCAAACCUUCUACUAAUUGUUAUUGAGUUAAUGACCUUGAAACUGAAUUGCUUCCUUGGGCCAAUUUGCAUUCAAAAAUCUCAUUUGGCUAGUGGCACCUUGAAGGGUUUUCGCCAACAAGCCUCUCUCAUCUUCUUUUCCUCAACUCACCAUAGUCUUAUGGUGUCUGUAAGAGUUUUCACCAACGAGACUCUCUUAUCUUCAUUUCUCUCAACUCACAGUCGUCUUACGAUGCCCGUGAGAGUUUUCACCGAUAAGACUCUCUCAUUUUUACUGCUCUCUUGAUUUCUUAUGCCGAGGAAGACAAGUGGUUCCCAAAUGCAUCAUCAUAUCCCUUGUAUUCUUAGCCUUAACAUCCUCAAAGAUUGAUCCGAAGGUCUUUCUUUGGUUGUAACUUGGCUUUUGGAUAGGGUUAGAAAGAAGGGAUGGCAUGGGGCCCAAACGACACUUAAAGUGGGGUAGGACUUACAACUUUUAAAAUCGACUCAAAUAAUGAGGAUUAACUCAUGCCCCAGUUUUUAACUAUGCAAUUCUAAAUCAUUUAUUUGGUUGGCCCGAGCCCUAAGUAGGGCAGCCUACGUAUCUCACCCCCGGUAGAGGAGAAUCAAGUCAUGCGUAGUUCUGCCAACUUAUUUUGCUUGAUUCUGAUUUCUUUUUUCUUUUGACUUCUUUUUUUUUUCUUUGUAAUUUUUCUGACUCUAUUUACUUACUCUUUUCUUCCUUCUUGGACACAUUUUCCUCUUUUUUUUUUAACUUUCUGACACUACUCUCUUGCUCGAUACUUUUCUUUUGAACUUUGUUGGUUUUAUCUUGAUUCCAAAAAAAGGGUAUGAAAGAAAAUAACACUAAGGCUUAAAUGGGGUAAACAAAGGAUGACACAAUGUUUAGAUAGCAGAAUAAAAUGUCUUCGUCAUAUCAAUCCUUGAAAAUGCACGUACAUAUCAUGCAAUAUGAAAGUGAAAGAUGAAGAUCAUUUGACACCUUAACAACACUAUCUUUAAUUGAACAUGUGUGCUACUUCUUCCUCUACACUUCUCAAACAUAUAACUCCACCUUUGUUGUAUAUCCCUUACAUUGAAUGACUCAUACUUUCGUCGAGUUGAUUUUCUUUAUAUUCCUCUUGAUAGGAUCACGCAGACACUGUUUGACCUAAUCGAGACAUGUCUUUUAAUUGACGACCAAGUUAUUCUUGUGAUUCUCAAAAUAAUUGCCUUAAUUUUUAGAAAAGGCUUUAACUUGUCACCAAAUAUCUCAGCACUCUACUAUUUUCUUAGAUGUUUCUCCUAACUUUAGCCCUCUGAUUCAAUGUUCAUGCUUAAACUGCAUUUUAAGAUCUGACUGAAAAUUCUGCAGGCAUGUCAUAUUACUAGAAUCAACAUAAAAUAUGUUGUAUAAAGAAAACAAACAAACAACACAUUUGAAACAUAAAAGGAAAGGGACACUUCAUUUAGUUGAAAUAAAAGAUAAAAGGGUUUGAACAUAAACGACGAAGGGACAAACAAGAUAGAUCUCGAACUACAACCCUGAAAUACUUCAAAAAAUAAAAAAGAAAACAAAACAAACUACCAGACCUCUUCCUAGUAGGGAGAUGGGUGACUUCUCAUUUGCUCAGCCUGACAACUUAGCCACUGGUUUGCAUAUCAACAUGACCAGAGCUUCCCUCACUGUCAAUGUUCUGCACCAUAAUCGAUCCAUCUUGAAUCAUCUUUUCAAUUUCCCUUUUCAAAUCUCUACAAUCUUUAAUACUAUGACCCUGAGCAUCAGAAUUAUACGCACAUCAUACAUUAGGGUCAAAAUUUCUUGAACGUCGAUUAAGAGUGCACCCAAGGAAAGGAGUGUUCAUUCUCCACUAUACCAAUUUCUGAAACAAACUGGCAUACGACUCUCUAAUUGGUGUGAAGCUAUCUCUCGACUUCUGCCUCAUUUCAUCAUUUGGCUUGGAUCAAAAAUCAGGCGUAGAAGGGUUUUGGUAUAUUUGUGAAGUUAGAGGAUGACUCUGAAUUGUUGGUGUUUUCCACUGUGGGUAAGAUGGGGGUUGAUUAUGUGGUUGUGCAUUAUAUACUGAAUAUGGAGGUGGAGGAGCAGAGUAUAAUGGAUUUUAGGAGUGAUUAUGUGGAGCUUGGGCAGGACCUUGGGUUUGAGCCUGAGAGUGGCGACAACGGGGUCUUCUUGACCGUGCCCACUGUCCAACUACAAUAGAGGAUGCAACUUCCUCAUUCUUUGUCUCCACAACACUUCCUGAACCCUUUUGAAUUGCUUGAGUUGUCACUUUCAAUGUUGCAAAACUCACAAUGUGACCAGUCUUAAUUCCCCCUUCUAUCAUCUCCCCAUUUUAAGGACCUCAAUAAAUGACUUGCCUAAUGCAGGUAACAAGUGUUGAUAAUAUAUUUCAUCCUGUGCUUGAAUAAAUACCUUUGCUAUUUUGCUUUCUUUCAUUGGCGGUUUUACUCUCACAGCUUGUUCGCGCCAUCUGAACGCAUACUUUCUGAAACUCUCAGUAUUCUUCUUUUUUAUACUAGUUAGGGAUUUUUCGUCAGAGAUCAACUCCACAUUGUAUUGAAAUUGUUAAAAAAAUUCAUUAGCUAGGUCAUCCCAACUAAUCUACUUGUCAAUGUCUUGGUCAACAAACCAUUUCGAAGCUAGGCCUGAAAGACUCUCCCAGAAAUAAUCCUUGAGUAGUUCUUCCUUCCCUCUAGUGCCCCUCAAUUGGUUAUAAUAGCGACUCAAAUGUGCCACUGGGUCCCCAUGUCCAUCAUAGUUCUCAACCUUUGGCAAUUUAAAGCCAGGUGGAAGGUUGACACCUGGAAACAUGCAUAAGUCCUUAUAUGAGACACUUAUGUAACCCUCAAGUCCUUGCAAGUUCUUCAUAGCCAGUUCCAAACUUCUCAAUUUUUGGUCAUUUUUCCUCUUGUCCUUCUUUCAUAACAAGCUUCUUAGUGUUAGGAGGAAAUUCAAGCGGGUGAGUGUCACUGUAAAGACCAGUCAACUUGAAUGUAGGCUCGAAAGUGUAAUGCUGAUCACCAAUAAUAUUCAAUGCAGGCUUUCUUGUAGAGUAGGGAGGCACAACUUGUGGACGAACAUCAAAAGUAGGAGCUUCAGGUGGUGGUGGCACCGCAAAAGCAUAAACAACAGGUGGAGCCGAGUAUGUGGUAGUCUUGGAUUAGGGAGUGAGGAAAUGAACAUUAGAAGUGGUUGGGUAUUGUUGCCCCCGAGUCGAUCCUGAUGCAUGUUGUGGCAUAUCAACAAAAAUGGGAAAUUGUGCAUAUGACACGAGAGGCAAGAUGGAAAGAUAUUCCAGAUUAUCAUUGGGAACUGGAGGAGGAGGUAACCCAUUAGCCCAAGCUCGAUGCAUUCCUAUCAUUUGCUGCCUCAAUUUUCGAAUCACUUCAUUAGCUCCUACAUUCUCACUUCCCAAACUCCCUAUCUGAUUAGUGACAACAAACUCGGUAUCCUUGUUAGCCAUAACCUUCUCUAUGACUUGGUGCAAUAUGGAGGACCCGCUAAAAUGCCACAACCCAACCACCUCAAACUAACUGAACAAGAGAUAGCAAAUGUGUUAGAGUUCAACACUUUCUCAAAAUCUCUCCUUUUUUUUCUUUUUUAAAAGGUCACCGAACCCAAGAAGGGUGUCUACGUAUCUCAGCCCCCGAGAGAGGAGAAUCAGGUGUGCGUAGUUCGUGAAAUCUUGCCAAAAUGGUCAAAUAAACUCUUUUUCUUUUUCUUGAAACUUUAAAAAUAAAAGGAAAUAACAAAUUGUCAAAAGAAUUGACGAAAAUCUUUUUUGCAUUUUUUGGCUUUAAUAACCUAUACAAAAUGAAACCUAUGAUUACCAAAGAAAAGUCAUUUUGGAUUUUCGAUUUUAAAUUUCAUAUGAAAAUAAAACUUGAAACUAUUAAAGGAAAAUGUUUUUGUAGUUUUCUUUUAGAGAUUUAUAUAAGACACUUACUUUAAAUAAAGAGUGAAGAAAAUCUUUUAGAAUUUUUCAAAUAAGAUCUCCGAACCAAAAAUAGGUUGCCUACAUAUCUCACAUCCCGAAAGAGGAGAAUCAGGGGUGCGUAGUUUGUCCAGAUUGGAUAAUUAAUGAUUAAAUAACCAACUAAACCCGGACUUGAGAGACCAGACCACAAACAGAAGAUGAAAAACAUCAAUAAAAUCUUUUUAAGUUUUCAAUUUGAGUCUUAACCUAAAAAUGACACCAAUAAAUAUGCAAGGAAAAUCUUUUUGAUACUUUCGUUAUAUGAAAUGUAUAAAACUUCUAUCAGUUUUUAAAUUUUUCUUUUAUAAAAGGCUCCUAUUGAAAAAAAAUCUUUUUAAAAUUUUUGAAUUAUGAAUGCAUGCUAAAGGAGACAAAGCAAAAAACUUUCUGAUGUUUUUGAUUUUAGACAAAUGAGUGCAAAAGGAAAAAAAAUCUUUCUGAAUUUUGAAUUUUGAAAAACAAAAGCCAUAAAGAACUCUAAAAACUAGAAACUCUCUUUUUUUUCUUUUCGACUCACUAUUCUUCUUUUUUUUUCUUUACUUCUAACACAUGUUUUCCCCAAAUUAGUCCAUCAAAUGACCAUAUUACCCUCAAAGAUGCAACAAUUAACACGUAGGGAUGCUUUAGAGGCGAGUCUCCUACAAAAGGCCAAGUGGGCCCCGUUAGGUCUUCAAUAUGAUGCAUAUAAACAUGACCUAAAGGCUGACCUACGUUGGGGUUCACUAACAAGGCUGUUCGGAGGAGCGUAUAUUCGAUAGUGGUUGCUUUGCUUUCCAUCUACUCAAUAACACCGAUGGCUCCUCCCAUAAAAUAAGGGUGACUCAACUAGAGGUCGUGUGCAAUACAUGUACUAUGGACUUGUUGCAGAAAGAAUGACUCGGGCUAUGCACAUGAUGCUAGAUAUAAAGUAGUAACACAUAAGAUAAAACUGUAAACAAAGAGCAUGUAGGCACUCAAAAAAAAAAACAAAAAGCAACACAAACAUAUGUCUAUACACCUAUAGUGACAAACUAAGCUGAUACAACUCCAAAUUAAGCUCUAAUUCUGAAAAUAGAUCUCCAGCAGAGUCGCCAGAGCUGUCACACCUCUUUUAAACUCCAAAAAGAUAUUAUUUUAAAAGUUUGAAAGGGUUUUCGUUAUAAAAGUGACAAAAGAUAAAAAUUUGCUUCGAAAAGGACCUUUUAUAUUCAAAACUCAGAGUCGCCACUUGGCAUAAUCCGGUGUGCCAAGUCACCUUUGGAAAAUCCUUUUCAAAAUGAUUUGACUCAAACUGGUUUGCUAACAGAGAUUUUGACUAAGGAAUUUUGUUGACAGACGGGAAGGUGUUAGGCACCCCUCGAUCCUGUGAUUUGAACGCGGUCGCUUGUUGGAGCAUAUCGGCUAAUUUGACACCACGAAUGUAUAAACCACACAAAAGCACGCAAAACAAUCAAUCAAGCAAAAAAAAAUAAAAACAAUCCAAAAUUUGGUGUCCAGUCCAAUUUAUUACAAAUCGAAAUAGAAAAUACUGAAAUAAACCUACACUAACCUAUACUAGUCCUAAAUUAUACUCUACCCGAUGCCUUGGUCCUUCAUCACAGACAUCCUCCGUGUACAAAAUACCUCAGGGCAUUCCCCAACGAAUAAACACAAAUACCUCGGGGCAUUCCCCAGCCAAAUGAAUACAUUUUUAAUGCAAGAAGACCACAAUCAUUCAAUAAUAUUUCAAACAUUCCAUAUUUUAUAAUCCCUAAAUUUGCUUAUCACCCCUAUUGUUUGCCUAUCGAUUUGACGACCUAAUCUUGAUACUAUCAAGUUCGAUGACAUCAAUGAAUCAAAAUUAGUCCGUAUUCAUUUUUUUACUUUUCAAAUCCCAUCUCACUUUUAUUCUUGAUCAAUUAACCAAUUCCAAUACAGAAUCAAAACUACGAUAAUCAUAGACGUUCAAACAUACUAUAAAAAAUUAUAUCAUCAAUCAACAUGAACCACGCAACUCACAACAUCACCUCACCAAAUUAAGUAAAACAAAGAGAAGGAGUUGAAGAAUUGGACCUUAGAAGAAGCUUUCAAAAUUGAUGUAUUAUUCCAAUAAAAACCCGGUACAAUCCGCGUCGAGAACCUUGAUUCAUACCUCAAUCACGAACUUGCCAACUCGAUCAAAACCCCAAAACAGCGGAGAAAGCCACAAAAAAAAUCCAAAUCUCAAUUUUUGAACCAAGCUUGAAAUGAGUCAUGCCAGGUUUGUUAUUUUUGGUGAAGUUCGAACUCGCUGAAGCUCCGAUGGAUCUCGACAGUCAGCGAAACAAUGUUUUCCCAGUGAGAUUUUGCCAGAGAACUAGAAAUGAAAGAGAAUUCGAAGAUUUUGAGGGUGCGGAUGGUCUAAUUCCGGUAAGGGAAUACCGAUUUCGGCGAGAAACUCGCCGAAAAAACCAAACCAGUCGUCCUUUUUCUCAUGUAUUCCCUCUCUUCGAUCGAUUCUCUCCCUUUCUCAAUUUGGAUUGUCUUCUCUCCGAUCUCACGCUCAGAUUUGUCUCUCACUGUGGUUGUGUGUAUGUAUAAUGGUUUUGUGUGAAGGCAGGUGUAUUAAUGGAAUAAACUCAUCAGUGAUGGUGUCUAUAUAUUCCUCUUUCCCGUAUUCUAUAUGUGUAUAUGUUGAAUUGAGAUCUUUUUCUUUAUGGUUACCGUGAUGUUCGUCCAUGGCGUGUAGGUGUGUUCGUGGUAUAUGGGUCUUCUCUAAAAAUGGAAAAAAAUGGUCAGAAUGUUACUGUGUGGACAUCUCUGUAUUGUUAUCUAUUGUAUUCUUAUGUAUUCGCCUCCCAGUUUCUGUGUGAAGUGCGUGUGUAUAUUGUGAAUUACAGUGAGUGAGAAUUGUGUGGUAGUGGAGUAGGGUAGGUGGGCUAGUGAGGUGCGGGUAGGGGUAGGAUGUGAUGUGGUUUAUUUUGAUUGGAUGGGUUGUUAGGAUAAGAUAAAAUUAGCUAGGGAUUGUUAUUUUUGUCAUUUUGUGGAGAUUAUCACACGGGGUAGGGUACGCGGUAGGAUAAGGUAAAAAUGUGUAAAAAUGAUAUAGGGAAGGGACAAAAUUAGGUGUCUACAUCAUGCCCCCUUUGAAUGUAAACACAAAGUAUUUUUGAACAAAGAAGUAGACAACAAGACAGAAUUUUGUCCCGAUCAUUAUUCGAAGGAAAAAUAGAAGAAAGAAGAGCAAUCGAGUAUUGACUUAGGACACCCUACCUACCCAAGUUAUGAGGGAAUCAAGUGACAGGAUUCUCAAAGGAUUGAAAGGAGAUGGACUUUACCGAGUUGAAGAGUCGAGUGAGGUCCCGAUGAGGUUCCAGUCCGCGCAUCUGUUAUUACAUCAUAAAUAAAAGUUACAAGUUAAAACAUAAAUAAAAUUACAAAAUCAUAUCUAUGCAGUUAGUUUCUUUUGGACUCUUAACUUGAGUUUCAUCACUCUAUUCUUCAGGCGGGCUCCUGACUUGCAAUUUCAUCACUUGUUGCUUGGUUUUCAAUCUCUUCACCCUGUUCUUCAGGCGGGUUCCUAACUUGCUAUUUUUUCAAUCUGUUGACUUUAAAUUUCUUCACCUUGUUGCUUGACUUUCAACUUCUUCACCUUGUUACUUGACUUUCAACUUUUUCACCAUGUUGCUUGACUUUUCAUUUAUUCACCCUGCUCUUCAGGCGGGCUCCUGAAAUCACAUCAAUACUAAAAAGAAAAAUUAUCCCAAACAAAGAUUAUUAUAAAGAGAUUUCAUUUGUCAGGAAAGCGAAGUUCCAAACACAGGAUUUAAAUUUUCCCCAGUUUCUCAUCAAAGGACUUUUGGGAAAGUCACAUCAUUAUAGGAAUCAAAGGGAAUGACUAGACUAAAAGGAACAUCUUAUAAGAAUCAAAGGGAAUGACUCAACUAAAAGGUACGUCUUCUAGGAAUCAAGGGAUAUGACUCGACUAAAAGGUACUUCUUAUAGGAAUCAAGGGGCAAGGGGAAUGACUUGACUAAGUCUAAUGACUCGACUAGGGAAUGACUAGACUAAAAGGAACAUCUUAUAAGAAUCAAAGGGAAUGACUCAACUAAAAUGUACGUCUUAUAGGAAUCAAGGGGAAUGACUUGACUAAAAGGUACGUCUUUUAGGAAUCAAAUGACUCGACUAAAGGCACAUCAUCUAGGAAUCAAGGGGAAUGACUAGACUAAAAGGUACGUCUUCUAGGAAUCAAAGGUAAUGACUCGACUAAAAGGUACGUCAUCUAGGAAUCAAGGGGAAUGACUCGACUAAAAGGUACGUUUUCUAGGGGUCAAGGGGAACGAUUCAACUAAAAGGUACGUCUUCUAGGGGUCAAAGGGAAUGACUCGACUAAAAGGUACAUUUUAUAGGAAUCAAGGGGAAUGACUCGACUAAAAGGUACGUCUUCUAGGGGUCAAGAGGAAUGACUCGACUAAAAGGUACGUCUUCUAGGAAUCAAAUUAAAUAACUCGACUAAAAGGUACGCCUUAUAGGAAUCAAGGAGAAUGACUCGACUAAAAGGUACGUCUUCUAGGGGUCAAGGGAAAAGACUCGACUAAAAGAUAUGUCUUAUAGGAAUUAAAGAAGAUGACUCGAAUAAAAGGUACGUCUCAUAGGAGUGAAGGUUCAAUUUAAGAAGUGUAUCACCUAGCAAAUGAAAACUAAAAUCCCUGGACAAGAAAGUGUCUCCGAGGGAUAUAGGAUGAUGAUUUUUUACAAUGACUUGAUUAUUAAACCUGUCCAACAACAUUGUUUCCUGCAUUUGUAGGAGUGAGGCAUUGCAGACCUUGAUAUUUAUGUUCCGAAUUCCUUGAUUUAAAGGUAAUAUGUUUCCUAUUUCAUCAAAAAAAACUUGUGAGUUAAAAAAUAUGGUGGCUGGCUUGUGGCUUUAGCUUUUGCGACAAUCGCUCUUGCCCCAGUCACAUUUAACCUUGCUUCCAACCAUUAGCAUAUGUCAUUGACUUGUUGAAUCAGUGAUCCAAACUCAUAUUAGGAAGAGUGACUCUGCCACAAACACAGUAUCUCUGCUUUGCCAUGUUUCUCAGUUAAACCCUUUGAACUAUGGUAUUUCCGUGGGUUCCCAGACUUGUCUAUUGACAAAACUUUCUAUAUGUCCUUUUUUCAGCUCACAAUUAUAUCUCUUUCAUGCGCUGGCCUUUUUGUCUUGCUUUGUACAAUUGAAGAAGUUGGUAGCCAAUUUUAAAAUCUUUUCUCACUUGUUUCGACAUGGACUAGACUCAAAGACAAGAGCGAAAAUGACCAUGAUUUUUUAUUUGGAUAACUGACUCAAGAAAAAUAAAAUAAAAAUAAAACAAAGAGAAGAAAGAAAAGACAAUGAAUGUACCCAUUAAAAAAAAUAAUGAAAAAUGUAUCUAAAAAUGACAGUUAACUCUAUUGAUUAUGCCAUGCAUUUUGGAUUAAGUUGCCUGAUCUUUCAUCUAAACCUUCUACUAAUUGUUGUUGAGUUAAUGACCUUGAAACUGAAUUGCUUCCUUGGGCCAAUUUGCAUUCAAAAAUCUCAUUUGGCUAGUGGCACCUUGAAGGGUUUUCGCCAACAAGCCUCUCUCAUCUUCUUUUCCUCAACUCACCAUAGUCUUAUGGUGUCUGUAAGAGUUUUCACCAACGAGACUCUCUUAUCUUCGUUUCUCUCAACUCAUAGUCGUCUUACGAUGCCCAUGAGAGUUUUCACCGAUAAGAAUCUCUCAUUUUUAUUGCUCUCUUGAUUUCUUAUGCCGAGGAAGACAAGUGGUUCCCAAAUGCAUCAUCAUAUCCCUUGCAUGCUUAGCCUUAACAUCCUCAAAGAUUGAUCCGAAGGUCUUUCUUUGGUUGUAACUUGGCUUUUGGAUAGGGUUAGAAAGAAGGGAUGGCAUGGGGCCCAAACGGCACUUAAAGUGGGGUAGGACUUACAAUUUUUAGAAACGACUCAAAUAAUGAGGAUUAACUUAUGCCCCAGUUUUUUACUAGGCAAUUCUAAAUUAUUUAUUUGGUUGGACCAAGCCCUAAGUAGGGCAUCCUACGUAUCUCACCCCCGAGAGAAAAGAAUCGGGUCAUGCGUAGUUCUGGCAACUUGUUUUGCUUGAUUCUGAUUUCAUUUUUCUUUUGACUUCUUUUUUUUUCUUUGUAAUUUUUCUGACUCUAAUUUACUUACUUUUUUUCUUCCUUCUUGGACACAUUUUCCUCUUUUUUUGAAAAAACUUUCUGACUCUACUCUCUUGCUCUAUACUUUUCUUUUGAACUUUAUUGGUUUUAUCUUGAUUCCAAAAAAGGGGUAUGAAAGAAAAUAACACUAAGGCUUAAAUGGGGUAGACAAAGGAUGACACAAUGUUUGAAUAACAGAAUAAAAUGUCUUUGUCAUAUCAAUCCUUGAAAAUGCACGUACAUAUCAUGCAAUAUAAAAGUGAAAGAUGAAGAUCAUUUGACACCUUAAAACCACUAUCUUUAAUUGAACAUGUGUGCUACUUCUUCCUCUACACUUGUCAAACAUAUAACUCCACCUUUGUUGUAUAUCCCUUACAUUGAAUGACUCAUACUUUCGUCGAGUUGAUUUUCUUUAUAUUCCUCUUGAUAGGAUCACGCAGACACUGUUUGACCUAAUCGAGACAUGUCUUUUAAUUGAUGACCAAGUUAUUCUUGUGAUUCUCAAAAUAAUUGCCUUAAUUUUUAGAAAAGGCUUCAACUUGUCACCAAAUAUCUCAGUACUCUACUAUUUUCUUAGAUGUUUCUCCUAACUUUAGCCCUCUGAUUCAAUGUUCAUGCUUAAACUGCAUUUUAAGAUCUGACUGAAAAUUCCGCAGGCAUGUCAUAUUACUAGAAUCAACAUAAAAUAUGUUGUAUAAAGAAAACAAACAAACAACACAUUUGAAACAUAAAAGGAAAGGGACACUUCAUUUAGUUGAAAUAAAAGAUAAAAGGGUUUGAACAUAAACGACGAAGGGACAAACAAGAUAGAUCUCGAACUACAACCCUGAAAUACUUCAAAAAAUAGAAAAGAAAACAAAACAAACUACCAGACCUCUUCCUAGUGGGGAGAUGGGUGACUUCUCAUUUGCUCAGCCUGACAACUUAGCCACUGGUUUGCAUAUCAACAUGACCAGAGCUUCCCUCACUGUCAAUGUUCUGCACCAUAAUCGAUCCAUCUUGAAUCAUCUUUUCAAUUUCCCUUUUCAAAUCUCAACAAUCUUUAAUACUAUGACCCUGAGCAUCAGAAUUAUACGCACAUCAUACAUUAGGGUCAAAAUUUCUUGAACAUCGAUUAAGAGUGCACUUAAGGAGAGGAGUGAUCAUGCUCCAUUGUACCAAUUUCUGAAACAAACUAGCAUACGACUCUCUAAUUGGUGUGAAGUUAUCUCUCGACUUCUGCCUCAUUUCAUCAUUUGGCUUGGAUAAAAAAUCAGGCUUAGAAGGGUUUUGGUAUAUUUGUGAAGUUAGAGGAUGACUCUGAAUUGUUGGUGUUUUCCACUGUGGGUAAGAUGGGGGUUGAUUAUGUGGUUGUGCAUUAUAUACUGAAUAUGGAGGUGGAGGAGCAGAGUAUAAUGGAUUUUAGGAGUGAUUAUGUGGAGCUUGGGCAUGACCUUGGGUUUGAGCCUGAGAGUGGCGACAACGGGGUCUUCUUGACCGUGCCCGCUGUCCAACUACAAUAGAGGAUGCAACUUCCUCAUUCUUUGUCUCCACAAUACUUCCUGAACCCUUUUGAAUUGCUUGAGUUGUCACUUUCAAUGUUGCAAAACUCACAAUGUGACCAGUCUUAAUUCCCUCUUCUAUCAUCUCCCCCAUUUUAAGGACCUCAAUAAAUGACUUGCCUAAUGCAGGUAACAAGUUUUGAUAAUAUAUUUCAUCCUGUGCUUGAAUAAACACCUUUGCUAUUUUGCUUUCUUUCAUUGGCGAUUUUACUCUAACAGCUUGUUCGCGCCAUCUGAUCGCAUACUUUCUGAAACUCUCAGUAUUCUUCUUUUUUAUACUAGUUAGGGAUUUUUCGUCAGAGAUCAACUCCACAUUGUAUUGAAAUUGUUGCACAAAUUCAUUAGCUAGGUUAUCCCAACUAAUCUACUUGUCAAUGUCUUGGUCAACAAACCAUUUCGAAGCUAGGUCUAAAAGACUCCCCCAGAAAUAAUCCUUGAGUAGUUCUUCCUUCCCUCUAGCGCCCCUCAAUUGGUUACAAUAGCGACUCAAAUGUGCCACUGGGUCCCCAUGUCCAUCAUAGUUCUCAAACUUUGGCAUUUUAAAGUCAGGUGGAAAGUUGACACCUGGAAACAUGCAUAAGUCCUUAUAUGAGACACUUUUGUAACCCUCAAGUCCUUGCAAGUUCUUCAUAGCCAGUUCCAAACUUCUCAAUUUUUUGGUCAUUUCCUCUUGUCCUUCUUUCAUAACAAGCUUCUCAGUGUUAGGAGGAAAUUCAAGUGGGUGAGUGUCACUGUAAAGACCAGUCAACUUGAAUGUAGGCUCGAAAGUGUACCGCUGAUCACCAGUAAUAUUCAAUCCAGGCUUUCUUGUAGAGUAGGGAGGCACAACUUGUGGACGAACAUCAAAAGUAGGAGCUUCAGGUGGGGGUGGCACCGCAAAAGCAUGAACAACAGGUGAAGCCGAGUAUGUGGUAGUCUUGGAUUGGGGAGUGAGGAAAUAAACAUUAGAAGUGGUUGGGUAUUGUUGCCCCAAAGUCGAUCCUGAUGCAUGUUGUGGCAUAUCAACAAAAAUGGGAAAUUGUGCAUAUGACACGAGAGGCAAGAUGGAAAGAUAUUCCAGAUUAUCAGUGGGAACUGGAGGAGGAGGUAACCCAUUAGCCCAAGCUCGAUGCAUUCCUAUCAUUUGCUGCCUCAAUUUCCGAAUCACUUCAUUAGCUCCUACAUUCUCACUUCUCAAACUCCCUAUCUGAUAGUGACAACAAACUCGGUAUCCUUGUUAGCCAUAACCUUCUCUAUGACUUGGUGCAAUAUGGAGGACCAGCUAAAAUGCCACAACCCAACCACCUCAAACUAACUGAACAAGAGAUAACAAAUGCGUUAGAGUCUAACACUUUCUCAAAAUCUCCCCUUUUUUUCUUUUUGAAAAGGUCACCGAACCCAAGAAGGCUACCUACGUAUAUCACCCCCUGAGAGAGGAGAAUCAGGUGUGCGUAGUUCAUGAAAUCUUGCCAAAAUGGUCAAAUAAACUCUUUUUCUUUUUCUUGAAACUUUAAAAAUAAAAGGAAAUAACAAAUUGUCAAAAGAAUUGACGAAAAUCUUUUUUGCAUUUUUCGGCUUUAAUAACCUAUACAAAAUGAAACCUAUGAUUACCAAAGAAAAGUCAUUUUGGAUUUUCGAUUUUGAAUUUCAUAUGAAAAUAAAACUUGAAACUAUUAAAGGAAAAUGUUUUUGUAGUUUUCUUUUUAGAGAUGUAUAUAAAACACUUACUUUAAAUAAAGAGUGAAGAAAAUCUUUUAGAAUUUUUCAAAUAAGAUCCCCGAACCAAAAAUAGGUUGCCUACAUAUCUCACAUCCCGAAAGAGGAGAAUCAGGGGUGCGUAGUUCAUCCAGAUUGGAAAAUUAAUGAUUAAAUAAUCGACUAAACCCGGACUUGAGAUACCAGACCACAAACAGAAGAUGAAAAACAUCAAUAAAAUCUUUUUAAGUUUUCAAUUUGACACUUAACCUAAAAAUGACACCAAUAAAUAUGCAAGGAAAAUCUUUUUUGAUAUUUUCGUUAUACGAAAUGUAUAAAACUUCUACCAGUUUUUAAAUUUUUCUUUUAUAAAAGGCUCCUAUUGAAAAAUAAUCUUUUUGAAAUUUUUGAAUUAUGAAUGCAUGCUAAAGGAGACAAAGCAAAAAACUUUCUGAUGUUUUUGAUUUUUGAGAAAUGAGUGCAAAAGGAAAAAAAAUCUUUCUGAAUUUUGAAUUUUGAAAAACAAAAGCCAUAAAGAACUCUGAAAACUAGAAACUCUCUUUUUUUUUCUUUUUGACUCACUAUUCUUUUUUUUUUUUUUUUUUUUACUUCUAACACAUGUUUUCCCCAAAUUAGUCCAUCAAAUGACCAUAUUACCCUCAAAGAUGCAACAAUUAACACGUAGGGAUGCUUUAGAGGCAAGUCUCCUACAAAAGGCCAAGUGGGCCCCUCUAGGUCUUCAAUAUGAUGCAUAUAAACAUGACCUACAAGGUGACCUACGUUGGGGUUCACUAACAAGGCUGUUCGGAGGAGCGUAUAGUCGAUAGUGGCUGCUUUGCUUUCCACCUACUCCAUAACAUCGAUGGCUCCUCCCCUAAAAUAAGGGUGACUCAACUAGAGGUCGUGUACAACACGUGUACUAUGGACUUGUUGCAGAAAGAAUGACUCGGGCUAUGCACAUGAUGCUAGAUAUAAAGCAGCAACACAUAAGAUAAAAUUAUAAACAAAGAGCAUGUAGGCACUCAAAAAAAUAACAAAAAGCAACGCAAAUAUAUGUCUAUACACGUAUAGUGACAAACUAAGCCGAUACAACUCCAAAUUAAGCUUGAAUUCUGAAAAUAGAUCUCCAACGGAGUCGCCAGAGCUGUCACACCCCUUUUUAACUCCAAAAAGAUAUUAUUUUAAAAGUUUGAAAGGGUUUUCGUUAUAAGUGACAAAAGAUAAAAAUUUGCUUCGAAAAGGACCUUUUAUAUUCAAAACUCAGAGUCGCCACUUGGCAUAAUCCGGUGUGCCAAGUCACCUUUGAAAAAUCCUUUUCAAAACGAUUUGACUCAAACUGGUUUGCGAACAGAGAUUUCAGCUAAGGAAUUCUGUUGACCGACGGAAAGGUGUUAGGCACCCCUCGAUCCUGUGGUUUGAACACGGUCGCUUGUUGGAGCGUAUCGGCUAAUUUGACACCACGAAUGUAUAAACCACACAAAAGCACGCAAAACAAUCAAUCAAGCAAAAAAAAUAAAAACAAUCCAAAAUUUGGUGUCCAGUCCAAUUUAUUACAAAUUGAAAUAGAAAAUACUGAAUAAACCUACACUAACCUAUACUAGUCCUAAAUUAAACUCUACCCGAUGCCUUGGGCCUUCAUCACAGACAUCCUCCGUGUACAAAAUACCUCAGGGCAUUCCCCAACGAAUAAACACAAAUACCUCGGGGCAUUCCCCAGCCAAAUGAAUACAUUUUCAAUGCAAGAAGACCACAAUCAUUCAAUAAUAUUUCAAACAUUCCACAAUUUAUAAUCCCUAAAUUUGCCUAUCACCCCUAUUGUUUGCCUAUCGAUUUGACGACCUAAUCUUGAUACUAUUAAGUUCGAUGACAUCAAUGAAUUAAAAUUAGUCCGUAUUCAUUUUUUUACUUUUCAAAUCCCGUCUCACUUUCAUUCUUGAUCAAUUAACCAAUUCCAAUACAGAAUCAACCAAUCAAAACUACGAUAAUCAUAGACGUUCAAACAUACUAUCAAAAAUUAUAUCAUCAAUCAACAUGAACCACGCAACUCACAACAUCACCUCACCAAAUUAAGUAAAACAAAGAGGAGGAGUUGAAGAAUUGGACCUUAGAAGAAGCUUUCAAAAUUGAUGUAUUAUUCCAAUAAAAACCCGGUACAAUCCGCGUCGAGAACCUCGAUUCAUACCUCAAUCACGAACUUGCCAACUCGAUCAAAACCCCAAAACAAUGGAGAAAACCACAAAAAAAAAAAAUCCAAAUCUCAAUUUUCGAACCAAGCUUGAAACGAGUCACGCUAGGUUUGCUAUUUUUGGUGAAGUUCGAACUCGCUGAAGCUCCGAUGGAUCUCGGCAGUCAGCGAAACAAUGUUUUCCCAGUGAGAUUUUGCCAGAGAACUAGAAACGAAAGAGAAUUCGAAGAUUUUGAGGGUGCGGAUGGUCUAAUUCCGGUAAGGGAAUACCGAUUUCGGUGAGAAACUCGCCGGAAAAACCAAACCAGCCGUCCUUUUUCUCAUGUAUUCCCUCUCUCCGAUCGAUUCUCUCCCUUUCUCGAUUUGGAUUGUCUUCUCUCCGAUCUCACGCUCAGAUUUGUCUCUCACUGUGGUUGUGUGUAUGUAUAAUGGUUUUGUGUGAAGGCAGGUGUAUUAAUGGAAUAAACUCAUCAGUGAUGGUGUCUAUAUAUUCCUCUUUCCCGUAUUCUAUAUGUGUAUAUGUUGAAUUGGGAUCUUUUUCUUUAUGGUUACCGUGAUGUUCGUCAAUGGCGUAUAGGUGUGUUCGUGCUAUAUGGGUCUUCUCUAAAAAUGGAAAAAUAUGGUCAGAAUGUUACUGUGGGGACAUCUAUAUUGUUAUCUAUUGUAUUCUUAUGUAUUCGCCUCCCUAUUUCUAUGUGAAGUAUAUGUGUAUAUUGUGAAUUCCAG